UGGGGAAUUUUGGACAAUGGGCGAAAGCCUGAUCCAGCAAUGCCGCGUGUGUGAAGAAGGCCUUCGGGUUGUAAAGCACUUUUGUCCGGAAAGAAAUCCUUGGCUCUAAUACAGUCGGGGGAUGACGGUACCGGAAGAAUAAGCACCGGCUAACUACGUGCCAGCAGCCGCGGUAAUACGUAGGGUGCAAGCGUUAAUCGGAAUUACUGGGCGUAAAGCGUGCGCAGGCGGUUUGCUAAGACCGAUGUGAAAUCCCCGGGCUCAACCUGGGAACUGCAUUGGUGACUGGCAGGCUAGAGUAUGGCAGAGGGGGGUAGAAUUCCACGUGUAGCAGUGAAAUGCGUAGAGAUGUGGAGGAAUACCGAUGGCGAAGGCAGCCCCCUGGGCCAAAUACUGACGCUCAUGCACGAAAAGCGUGGGGAGCAAAACAGGAUUAGAUACCCUGGUAGUCCACGCCCUAAAACGAUGUCAACUAGUUGUUGGGGAUUCAUUUCCUUAGUAACGUAGCUAACGCGUGAAGUUGACCGCCUGGGGAGUACGGUCGCAAGAUUAAAAACUCAAAGGAAUUGACGGGGUCAUAGCUGUUUCCU
rnacentral:rRNA from 1 species